CUCUUGUAUGAGUCACAUCUCUGUUGGUUGUAAGUGGCUGAAACUCAUCUUGAACUACCAAGAUUGGCUUCUCUCACAUGGCAAGAAACAUUGCUGCUAGCACUUCCCGAGUUCUACGUUCUACAACAUCCACCACUGGAUCUUAACAUAGACGUAAGAUCAAAUGCAAUAGCAUGUCAAACAAUGUGUAACUCCAGUUAUACAAACAUUACUGUAUCUCAUUGGGGAUACGAAGCUCUACACACUUGAAGAUGGUGAAGGAAUAUAAAAAUCUAUGUCUCACAGUCCAGACUUGGAGUACAAGUAAUAAGAAGAAUAAAACUUAAUCCCUUAAGUAGAUUCACCAUAAGUUAGCUCAGAGCAAUUCCAGUGCAAGUAUGGUCUGUGAUCCAGUAGUAUCUUACAGACAGCAAGUUGAACAUUGUGGGAUGCAUGAGCUAUUGAGGCCUUUGCAGCUUUCUGCUACAUGGAGGCUAGGGCCAGAGUCAAGAUUUAUGCUUUGCAGCACACUGGUCAGCUGUUUUUGCAAAUCAGAUUAAAUGAUUUUUAAAUGAGGCUGAGAGCAUGGGAGAUACUAAUGUGUGUUUCCUUGUGAGCUACUGCAUAAGUUAGGAAAUUGAAAUACAGAAAGAUGAAAAGUGAUUUGCCCAAGCAUAUAGAUCAAAGCUGUGGCAGAACCAGGACUGGAACCUAUAUCUCUCUACUAAUGGUUUUUUUAAAAAAAUAACCUUGUUUCAAAAAUAUUAAAAAGUCACAAGAAAGGUAAACAUGUGGAUAAACAAAAUGAAGAAAAUAAAAAUUAUCCAGUAAUAA
rnacentral:lncRNA from 1 species